UACGAAGGGGGCUAGCGUUGCUCGGAAUCACUGGGCGUAAAGCGCACGUAGGCGGACUCUUAAGUCGGUGGUGAAAUCCUGGAGCUCAACUCCAGAACUGCCUUCGAUACUGGGAGUCUCGAGUCCGAGAGAGGUGAGUGGAACUGCGAGUGUAGAGGUGAAAUUCGUAGAUAUUCGCAAGAACACCAGUGGCGAAGGCGGCUCACUGGCUCGGUACUGACGCUGAGGCGCGAAAGCUAGGGGAGCAAACAGG
rnacentral:rRNA from 1 species